rnacentral:rRNA from 1 species
UACGUAGGGUCCGAGCGUUGUCCGGAAUUAUUGGGCGUAAAGGGCUCGUAGGCGGUCCGUCACGUCGGGAGUGAAAACUCAGGGCUCAACCCUGAGCGUGCUUCCGAUACGGGCGGACUAGAGGUAUGCAGGGGAGAACGGAAUUCCUGGUGUAGCGGUGGAAUGCGCAGAUAUCAGGAGGAACACCGGUGGCGAAGGCGGGUCUCUGGGCAGUAACUGACGCUGAGGAGCGAAAGCGUGGGGAGCAAACAGG